rnacentral:lncRNA from 1 species
GCACGGACCGUCGCGACCUCGUGACUGUGAGGUCCUCUAUAUCCCACAGACUGGAAGGGCGGGAGGGAAGGGCAAAAGAAAGAGAUCAGCACUGGACCGCCUCCUGGCAUCCGAGAUGCACCAACUGGGCCGUUACAGCAGCCAGUAUUCAUCUGCAUCGUCCUUAAAGAGCUGUUCUGUUUACCACAGAUUAGUAGUUACUUAAGUUAUCCGGAGAACCAUACCCUCACGAAUACAGUGCUAGUGAAUUAUUCAACAAAUACAGAUUGAGGAUAUACUAUGUACCCAGCGGUUGACAACCGGAAGGACACGGGGAUCAGAGGCACCUGUUCUUGGGCCGCCAGUGACCAGGGCUGACAACUUGCCCAGACCACAAGACUCCCUGUUGAGAAAGCAAGCGGACUCACAGUUUUUCAGUGUCUCAGGGAGCCUGCAGCAGUGAUCCAGUUCCUUCAAAAG